rnacentral:rRNA from 1 species
GACGAACGCUGGCGGCGUGCUUAACACAUGCAAGUCGAACGGAAAGGCCUUUUCGGAGGUACUCGAGUGGCGAACGGGUGAGUAACACGUGGGUGAUCUGCCCUGCACUCUGGGAUAAGCCUGGGAAACUGGGUCUAAUACCGGAUAGGACCGCACUUUAGUGUGUGUGGUGGAAAGUUUUUGCGGUGUAGGAUGAGCCCGCGGCCUAUCAGCUUGUUGGUGGGGUAAUGGCCUACCAAGGCGGCGACGGGUAGCCGGACUGAGAGGUUGGUCGGCCACAUUGGGACUGAGAUACGGCCCAGACUCCUACGGGAGGCAGCAGUGGGGAAUAUUGCACAAUGGGCGCAAGCCUGAUGCAGCGACGCCGCGUGGGGGAUGACAGCCUUCGGGUUGUAAACUCCUUUCGCCAGGGACGAAGCGUUUUGUGACGGUACCUGGAGAAGAAGCACCGGCUAACUACGUG